CCUACGGGUGGCAGCAGUGAGGAAUAUUGCACAAUGGGGGGAACCCUGAUGCAGCGACGCCGCGUGAGUGAAGAAGUAUUUCGGUAUGUAAAGCUCUAUCAGCAGGGAAGAAAAUGACGGUACCUGACUAAGAAGCCCCGGCUAACUACGUGCCAGCAGCCGCGGUAAUACGUAGGGGGCAAGCGGUAUCCGGAUUUACUGGGUGUAAAGGGAGCGUAGACGGUUAUGCAAGUCUGACGUGAAAGCCCCAGGCUCAACCAUGGGACUGCUUUGGAAACUGGAAAACUGGAGUGCAGGAGAGGUAAGCGGAAUUCCUAGUGUAGCGGUGAAAUGCGUAGAUAUUAGGAGGAACACCAGUGGCGAAGGCGGCUUACUGGACUGUAACUGACGUUGAGGCUCGAAGGCGUGGGGAGCAAACAGGAUUAGAUACCCCAGUAGUC
rnacentral:rRNA from 1 species